UCACAAGAGGCCCUGAGCUCUGUGGGCCCCAGGUGCCCCGGGAAAACUUGGGGGAGAAUGGGCAUCCCACCCCAGCACUUUCUAGGAAGAAGGGCAGCAUUUUGAAGGGCUGGAAGUAGAGGAAGGAGGUUGCGGGUAGAAGACUCCAUACUUUCUGUGACGCCUAUUCCUUAGGAAUCAAGGCUAUCUGUAAUCACAGGGCUAUUUGAAAAAGAGAAGAAAAGGUGUCUUGAAAUUCAACCAACAUGUUUCAAUUAUUUGCUCCUAAGAACAACAGAAGUUUCAACAUUCUGCCAACAGAGUAACUCCUGGAAGAUUGGCACAGAAGAAGGCACAAGGAGAGCCUUUAUAUAACCAAAGAUAUUUUUGGACCAUGAAUUCAGAAAUUCUCGGAGCCACCCAUCAGUGCCUGAGCUUCAGUGAGUCCAUAUCCCAUGUCACCCACGGCAAAGGAGACUCUAAGACUUCUGAAGAGUUUCUUGCUUCUUUCCUGUGGGGCAGUGACUCCACUUCCCAGCAGUAAUGGAAUAUCCUGAAUUAGCUACAUUAAUGUUAGAACCAUUUGGACCUCACCCAGGACUUCAACUACAUUAUGAGUAACUCCUGGACGAUUGGCACAGAAGAAGGCACAAGGCAAAUACCCAUCUCUGUACACCCUGUGCUACUGUGUCAUGUGCUGCUCCAGGCAACUCCAAUGGAUUGGCCACCCUGGCCAAUGUGUUCUAGUAUGUUACGUUUAUGUUCCCCUGCUUUCUACAAUCCUGUUCAAAGAGUUGCUGACUUAACCACAGAGAGGAUUCCAGAACCUGAGACACAGAAUAAACUUGAGCAAUCAUAGUCCAUCCACUUCAUUGUCUCAUCAAAAACCAAAGGUCCAGUGAAGCUCUGGAACUCAACGCUGUAAAGGAGCGAAGGAGCUUCUAUACAGAGCCUGGAUGCCUGUCUCCUUAUCCUACUUCAGUGGACUUGACUGCAAUCCGGAUUAUGCUGUUUUCUAAGCAUUUAAAAUAAAAUAAAAAGUAUAA
rnacentral:lncRNA from 1 species